UCCUACAUUUGCCAAGGUAAUCUUCCCAAUA
rnacentral:piRNA from 1 species